AAAUUAAACUUAUCUAUUUGUUGUUGUAGAUUAUAUAAACUUAAUGAAAAUAAUCUUUGUCUUUUGAAAACUAGUAUUUAAUAAAGAAUCUUUUCUUUGGUGAUAAAUAAAAAGUACUGUAAAGGAAUGUUGAAAUAUUUGAAAAAUUGUUUGUUUAAAAGUAUAAUUUAAAAUUAGUACCUUGUGUUUCAGGGGAUUUAAAUAUUAAAUUUGUUAUAAUAAAUAUUCCCGAAAUUUGGUGAGCUAGUUUGAAAAAAAUAGUUAACGUGGUAUAGUUAUUAUUAAUUACUUACUAGAAAUGAAAUUUUAUACGUACUAAUAAGUAUCUGGUUUUUUGAUAAAUAAAUUUAAUUUAGCUUUUAAUGUAACAUUUAAUUAAAAUGUAAAAAUAGGAGGGAAAAGCUUCUUAUUUAAUAAUAAAUGAACUAUAAAUAAUUGUAAUUGUAUAUAUUUAAUUAGGCUUAAAAUCAGUCAUUUUAAAAAAUCGUUAUAGAUUAUGUAUUGUAUUUUAGUAUUUAAUAAUUGUUUUAGUGGUUUUAUCAAAAAUUGUAAUACAAUAAAAAAUUUUUGGUUAUAAUUAAAUCAUUAGUAUAAAAAUGUGUUUAAUGUUUAAUAUAACAAGAUAAAAUUUUAUGUGUUUAUUAACUUUAAAUUUAUAUUAAGGAACUCGGCAAUUAUUCCUUCUGCCUGUUUAUCAAAAACAUGUCCAUAUGCUUAAAGGUUUAUAUGGUCUGGCCUGCCCACUGAUCUGUGAAAUUAAAGGGCCGCGGUAUUCUGACCGUGCGAAGGUAGCAUAAUAAUUAGUCUCCUAAUUAGAGGCUUGUAUGAAUGGUCGGACAAGAUGGAAACUGUCUCAAUAUAAUAAAUAAAAUUUAAUAUUUAAGUAAAAAAGCUUAAAUAAUAUGGAGGGACGAUAAGACCCUAUAAAGCUUUAUGACAUAUUUUUUUUUAUAAAUUAUUUUGUUAUUAACUUAAUAUAAAAUGUAUGUCAUUUUACUGGGGCGGUAAAAGUAUAAUUAAAGAAUAACUGCUUUUGUUUUUAAUAACAAUUAUAGUUGGAAAUGAAUUGAUCCAUUAUUAAUGAUCACAAGAACAAGUUACUUUAGGGAUAACAGCGUAAUUUUUUUUGAGAGUUCUUAUCGAAAAAAAAGUUUGCGACCUCGAUGUUGAAUUAAGGAUAACCUUAAGGUGCAGCAGCUUUAAAGGUAGAUCUGUUCGAUCUUUAAAUCCUUACAUGAUUUGAGUUCAGACCGGCGUGAGCCAGGUUGGUUUCUAUCUUCCAUAAAAAUAAAAUCUAUUUUAGUACGAAAGGAUUUGGUAGAUCAAACAUUUUGUUAUUGGUAUGAUUAUUAUUAACUA
rnacentral:rRNA from 1 species